CACUAUGAAGCUAGUAUAGCAUUAACCUUUUAAGUUAAAGAUUGAGAAUUAGACUCUCCAUAGUGA
rnacentral:tRNA from 1 species